GGCCCGUUGGUCAAGCGGUUAAGACACCGCCCUUUCACGGCGGUAACACGGGUUCAAAUCCCGUACGGGUCA
rfam:Aerococcus christensenii strain CCTG28831, complete genome.